rnacentral:rRNA from 1 species
UACGGAGGGUGCAAGCGUUAUCCGGAUUCACUGGGCUUAAAGGGUGCGUAGGUGGUUUGAUAAGUCAGUGGUGAAAUCCCCGAGCUUAACUUGGGAACUGCCAUUGAUACUAUUGAUCUUGAAUACCGUGGAGGUCAGCGGAAUAUGUCAUGUAGCGGUGAAAUGCUUAGAUAUGACAUAGAACACCAAUUGCGAAGGCAGCUGGCUACGCCAAUAUUGACACUGAUGCACGAAAGCGUGGGGAUCAAACAGG